rnacentral:lncRNA from 1 species
ACACGAGCCUUACCGUCAUCAAGGCUAUUUGUCAGUGUCGCGAGAAGCUCGGCAAUAUCAUCGGAGUCGUUCACAUAGUACCCUGCGCCUGACCGUUUCCGCCCGACUGUGCAUGUAAUCGGAGUCCUGAAAGUUGUCAAAAUUGAAGGUUUGUCGUCAUCGUUUCCUUUCGAAUCGACCGCAUCAUUCACGUCCCCAGUCUGCUUACUAUGCGCAUCAUUGCCCUGUUGAUCGCUUUCAAACACAUUUGCUAAGCUUUCAACCCGGUGGGGGUUUUUGAUCUUUUGUUUUGAAGGAUGCUGCACUGCAGGGAUGUGACGAUGUCUGAAUACUGCCGAGGAGCCAUAAUUGAUAUACUCAAAUAUGUCUUCGUCUCGACCAAGAAAGUGACCGCAACACAUAACAAAGUCGACCUGCCGAUGUUCAAUAGCUGCCGGUGGAGGUGCAGUAUUUUCAUGGUCCUGCUGAUCAAUUCCGGUGAAAAUGUUAUCAGUCGAUCUGAAGGUCGCCAUGUGUGAUACUACAUCAGUCUGUUCUCCCGUUGAUGCAUGAAUCCUGGUUUCGGGAGGAACAUGCUCACAACUCUCUUCUCGCCUUAUCAAUGAAGAUGAACCGAAUUCUCCCAUCAUCGAGACGAUUCGCUCAACUGCGGCACCUUUGCUCACACCUAUUGGCCUUACCUCCACAGACUUCGCACCCUGAAUGACAUCAACUGCCGCAUUUGAAAUGGGUCCAGUCCACAAAUGUUGCAAAAGGUCCCUGGCUUGCUGUCGGCCGAAGUCAGGGUCGGCAUACUUGUAACUCCAUACCAAGGACGUCUCUCGUGUUUCAA